GAUUAACGCUGGCGGCGUGCAUAACACAUGCAAGUCGAACGAUGAAGAUUAUUAGACUUCUUCGGAAUGAAAAUAAUUGGAUUAGUGGCGGACGGGUGAGUAACGCGUGAGUAACCUGCCUUACACAAGGGGAUAGCCGUUGGAAACGACGAAUAAUACCCUAUGAAACUAUCACUUCGCAUGAAGCGAUAGUCAAAGUGUUAGCGGUGUAAGAUGGACUUGCGUCUGAUUAGCUAGUUGGUGAGAAAAAAGCCCACCAAGGCAACGAUCAGUAGCCGGCUUGAGAGAGUGUACGGCAACAUUGGGACUGAGACACGGCCCAGACUCCUACGGGAGGCAGCAGUGGGGAAUUUUGCACAACGGGGGAAACCCUGAUGCAGCGACGCCGCGUGAUUUAGAAGGCCUUCGGGUUGUAAAAAUCUUUUGUAUAGGAAGAAAAUGACAGUACUAUACGAAUAAGGUCCGGCUAAUUACGUG
rnacentral:rRNA from 1 species